rnacentral:siRNA from 1 species
AUAUGCUAUUGAAAAUAUUUCAGC